UCUUGUUUAGCUCAGUUCGUACAGCACUCUACUGGAAAUGGAGAGGUCCCUUGUUCGAUACUAGGACCAGGCG
rnacentral:tRNA from 1 species